ensembl:snRNA U6 U6 spliceosomal RNA
GUGCUCACUUUGGCAGCACAUAUUCUAAAAUUGGAACAAAGAAGAUUAGCAUGGCCCCUGCACAAAGGAUGACAUGCAAAUUUGCAAAGUAUUCCAUAUUUUU